rfam:Daphnia pulex DAPPTscaffold_2_Cont92, whole genome shotgun sequence.
GCCGUGAUCGUCUAGUGGUUAGGACCCUACGUUGUGGAGUCCAGCAAGACCGUAGUAACCCAGGUUCGAAUCCUGGUCACGGCA